UACGUAGGGGGCAAGCGUUGUCCGGAAUCAUUGGGCGUAAAGAGCGUGUAGGCGGCUCGUUAAGUCUGCUGUGAAAGUCCAGGGCUCAACCCUGGAAGGCCGGUGGAAACUGUCGGGCUAGAGUCCGGAAGAGGCGAGUGGAAUUCCCGGUGUAGCGGUGAAAUGCGCAGAUAUCGGGAGGAACACCAAUGGCGAAGGCAGCUCGCUGGGACGGUACUGACGCUGAGACGCGAAAGCGUGGGGAGCAAACAGG
rnacentral:rRNA from 1 species